rnacentral:lncRNA from 1 species
GCAUUUCAAGUUUUCAUCAUAAAAUACCAAAAUUCACAUAAAUGGAAAUGAAUUUGAAACUCACCAAUGAUAAACCCCAUGGACUAUUGUGAGUAAUGGUUGGAAAGCCCUUGAAAUAAGGAACAAAAGUCAUGUUGGGAAAAAGAUCAUUUGGCAUUUGGAAAUUGAUCAAAAUUGGCUUGGAAAAUUUAAGCAUAAAACAUAUUCAAAUCACUUUGAAAAAUUUCACCAA